rnacentral:misc_RNA from 1 species
GCGUGUCUCCGUGCCCGCGUAUACCCUGUGAACCCACGGCGUAAGCCGCUGUGUUGCCUCGGCCAGCGGCCCCAGGGCGGGGCCCGCCUAGCCUGGAUGGACCCGGGUGCUGGCCGGCGGCGCGGACCUUCUGGAUCAUGAUUGAGGGAGCUCUGAGUCUCUGAGGGAUUUAUCCCAAAUUUUUUGAUACA